rnacentral:rRNA from 1 species
CGAAAGUAAAAUUUCGUGGAGGUCCGAACCCACGAGCGUUGAAAAGCUCGGGGAUGACUUGUGGGUAGCGGUGAAAUUCCAAUCGAGCCCGGAGAUAGCUGGUUCUCCCCGAAAUAGCUUUAGGGCUAGCCUCAAGGUGAGAGAUACGGAGGUAGAGCACUGAAUGUCCUAGGGGGUAUUGCACCUACCGAAGACUAUCAAACUCCGAAUGCCGUCAUCUUAUACUUGGGAGUCAGACUGUGGGUGAUAAGAUUCAUAGUCGAAAGGGCAACAGCCCAGAUCGUCAGCUAAGGUCCCUAAAUGUAAGUUAAGUGGUAAAGGAUGUGGGAUUGCACAGACAACCAGGAUGUUGGCUUAGAAGCAGCCACUCAUUCAAAGAGUGCGUAAUAGCUCACUGGUCGAGUGAUCCUGCGCCGAAGAUUUCCGGGGCUAAAACUUACUACCGAAGCUACGGCAUCAGUAAUGAUGGGUAGGGGA